rnacentral:rRNA from 1 species
CACGCCGUAAACGAUGGAUGCUAGCUGUUAUAGGUAUCGACCCCUGUAGUAGCGAAGCUAACGCGUUAAGCAUCCCGCCUGUGGAGUACGAGCGCAAGCUUAAAACAUAAAGGAAUUGACGGGGACCCGCACAAGCGGUGGAGCGUGUUCUUUAAUUCGAAGGUAAGCGAAGAACCUUACCAGGGUUUGACAUCCUGCGAAGUUUGCUGAAAGGCGAACGUGCUUUAUUGAGCGCAGUGACAGGUGU